GAUCACAGUUCCUUCGAGUUCUUUAUGGGUCGUCCUUUGGGGCGCCUGGGGCGGGGGGGUCCAAAAGGAAGAGCCCUUCUUAGGAAAAAUCUUCAUUCCUCUUAAAUCCCGGGGACUGCACCUCUCCUUUCUCGAAGCCCACAGACAGCUGGUGCUCGCAGCUGAUGCUCGCAGAGGAGCCCUCACUUCUGUGGCCGCUCACGUCGCCUUCCUCACGUUUCGUACGGAGCGUGGCAGCUCUCUCGUGGUCAUGGAAAGGUCUGUUUUACGAGUUUUCCUCUUCUGCUCCUCGACGUCUGGAACUGCGUUUUACUUGUCUAGGUAUCCAGCAGGUCCUAGGCCUCACCAGGCACGUAUUAGGUCUUUAAAAAUGCCUGUGUCACAGGGAAUGGAUGGAUGGGUGCAUGGACAGGUGACGCUUCGCCCACGACUCUGAGCAGUGCCCUUCGCAGAAGACGAAUUGGAGCACGUGACUCGUAAAACGAAAAAUCAGGAAUCCCUAUACUUUAUCUUCUCUCUUCCUUUCCACGCUCACUUACCCUCCUUUGGUCCCCCGUGUUUCCUCCUCAGACCACUUUCCUUCUUCUUCGUGCUCAGGCCAACGUCCCUCUAGUCUUGUCUUCUGAUUCCCAUUGGCCAGGGCACAAGGAGCAUCUUCUCUGCCGUGCGCUGAAAAGAGGUAUCAUUUCUCCCUCCCCAGGGAGCUGGUGUGUGUGUGUGUGUGUGUGUGUGUGUGUGUGUACCUCUGCACACUUGCUACUGGGAGAACAUCUGGGAGACAGAACACUUUAAGUGCUUCUAUUUCAGAUCAAGAAUCUUGAUUAACAACAAACCAUAUAUCGCUAAGGGUGAAAUUAUAUGGUACAGAUUAUACACAUGUUGGAGCCUCAGAGAAAAAAACCUUUCAGGUGAGGGAACUUGAGAAUGCCCUCGUAAGAUGGGGGAAUGGAGUUGAAACUUGAAUGAAAAUAGAAAAGGGUCUUGAAAGUUAACUUUUAAAGAAUUUUUUAAUCCAGUACUAUUUCACUAUUUUGGACCCAAUUAUCAGGAUUCUUAAGUAAGUUUAUCACGCGUUCUCCGAAUGGGUCCAGGGGAGAAGUGAUUGACAGGACAGAGGGACGACUGAAUCCACAGUGGAGACCUCGCCGCCUAAGGAAGGAUGGAGGAGCACACAGGUGAAGGGAGAAAAGAAGUGAAACGCUUUCAGCACCCACGUUUCAGGUCAAAGUGACAUUUUAUUUCUUCGCCCCCACUGCCUAACAGGGUAGGGAUUAUUUCUCGCAUGUUACAGAUGAGGAACUGAAUUCAGGCAGGUGCCCAAGGCUACACGGUGCUUCCUGGCGGAAUGAGGAAUCUAGCUGGAGUCUGGCUUCCUCAAAACCCCUGGCCCCUGUAAACCUGCUGCCUCCAGCCCAGCUCAAAUCAUUGAUAUUCUGAUUGCAGCUCAUCAUAAACGGUAUUUACUCAAGUCCCACUGCUAAGGAUUAUUGAAGGAGAGGAAAAGAUCUUUUGAAAAUACCCUGUAACUCACAUUUUACCUGCCAGAUGGAACAGCCACAUUCCUGCAAAAAGGCAAGGUCUUACUCUCUGUGUAUGUUUCAUUCCAGGAAAAGGGAAGGUCCCCAGCCCACUUCUCUGGGCGUGAAAUCCAUCCGUGGAUGUAGAGACACACACCAUCUCUCUUUUGCACCAAGCUCCGUGUAUGUCUCAGCCCUUCGCACAGAUCCGAGUGCACUGUUUCAGCUGGUCUGGCUUCUCAGCUGCCACAUCUUGGGACGGGGAACUCAUUCCGGCACAGUGGGGUUCUUGGGAGGAUGGACUGUGGUCCAGGUGCAGAGAUAAGCCACGUAAGGCGAGGCCAGGUCCCAGGUGCUCUAGGUGUAACCAACGAGCUCUCAGAGAGGAAUGGAGACUAAACAGUGCUGCUGGGGUCUAUGACCCUAGGAGAUGAGCCAAGGGAGUCCUUCCCGAGACCCUUCUAAGCCAGAGCAGGGGAGGAAGGUGCUUGCCAGCAGGGGAGAGACCUGAGCUGACUUCCCCCUUCCUCCAGGCUGGCCGUUCUCAAACACUCCACUCUCAGCGCUCCACUCUUAAAAAGGAUGAAAGCCACCAUUGCUCACCUGGGCGAUGUCACUGGUAUUUACUUCAUUAGAAGUGAAAACUGAUACAUUGAAACAUUUUAUUUAUUCAUUUAAAAACCACAAGAAGAAAGCCAUUACAUGUUAACACCAAUAAACGACCUUUGAUGAAAAAUAACCAUAGUUUGCAAAACAGCAACAAAUUAAAUGAGUCUCCUUGUUUUCAUUUUUGCAGAUCUCUUUGGUGUCUGGCUAACUAGAAGACCACUGGAUUCUGGCAUCGGAUUCUGCCUUGCAAAUUUCUGGCAACAGGCACUGGUCACCUAAGCCUGUUACCUGAGAGCCAUCUUCACUCUACCAAUGAGCGGGUCACCAAGUUCGGCUGAAUAGUCUGCCUGGCUUAUCUUCUGCCUGCCACUCACCAGCCCCAUGUCAGCAUCACGCAGGUGGCCAGUUUUCUUUUACAACUUGGUGGACUCAAAAAGAUGCGCAACCUAAAAGUUGAGAGUCAUGUGUUUAUUCAGUGGACAAAACUGAAGCCUUAAACCCAGGAGGCAGCAUCUCAAGUAACCCCAAAACGCCGCUCUGAGGAGGCAAGAGGAAGCUAGGGUGUACAGGGAAGACAGUGGCAACAGACAAUCACUGUUAAUAGACGAAACCAGAUAUCUCAAGUUAAGGAAUUUAGUGAUUUUCUCCAAAUGGGAAGAUGCAACGUUCUGGGCUCACUGAGAUCUUUCCUUUGCGGUACACCUCGGGUCUCUGGGGCCAGGGUCCUGUGUUCUCACAUCCUGGGGAGUGGCUGCAGUCUGAUGGCUGCUGGACAGCAGGUGUCUAUGCUUCCUUCCUGCCUCCCUCAGGGCUCCCCUGGAGGUGGCUGCCAUCGCUGAUGACUGAGACAUCUUUGUUUAUGGAUAAGGCAGGCGCUAUUUUAUGUCUCAGGUACCAAGUGGGACCCCGAAGUCUGGCUAACCCUGACUUCACGUGUUCUCAGGGUGUAGGUUACAAUCUUACGGGUCUUGGGUGUCUAAGCCUCACCCAACAGCAUCACAGGGUGGAGCGUUGCGGAGGGGAUGGCAGAGAGAAAAGGGACCAAGGAACAUUCCAUCAGCUUCCACCUGUGCUGCACUCAAGCUCUUCUCGAGACUCCCUGGCUGGGCCUGGAGCCCAGUGUGGUCACGCCUGUCCAGUUAGAGCGUGGUGUUUGCUGGACUUCACAGCACCGUUACUCCAGAUCCACCUGCCCUCAGUGCAGACCAGACCUCUGAUGCCAGCGCGGUCCCUGCCAUCCUUCCUGGGGACCAAGCUGGUCCAGGGACUGGUCAGGGAUGGUGCAGGUUUUGCAGGGUUCACAGAGGUCCCUGCUGGGCCCCACCGCCUGUUCUGACCGGCUCCACUCUCAGGCUUCUUCCUGUUCAUCAUGCUACUCGUGCUUUGAGCUAUAGCGCUUUGUGUUAAUUCUCUUCCGUCUCAAGAAGCUCGGCUUGGAUUCACUGCGUCUGAUCACCCUUUUCCAAACUCCCGGCAGAGGGGAUGCUCCCUCAUGACCCAACCCCCAGGGGUUGAAACACCCGCGAAGGAGUGAGAGUGUGGUCUAAAUGCAAGACGUUCACGCAGAAUAGACUGAGGUUCAAAGGCAAGGCGCCCGGUCCCUGCAUAGGUUUGUGCUCAGCGACAAACAUUCGCGAGGCCUUGGUGGGUGCAAAUACGGCCGGUGGAGAUUGUCUCUUUCCCUCAGGACGGUCUUUUCAGCUUUCAUCUCCCCUCCCCCGCUGUUUCUUUUCAUUUUUUUUUUCUUUUUCUUUUUAUGCUGC